rnacentral:misc_RNA from 1 species
GAAAUGCGAUAAGUAGUGUGAAUUGCAGAAUUCAGUGAAUCAUCGAAUCUUUGAACGCACAUUGCGCCCUUUGGUAUUCCUUAGGGCAUGCCUGUUCGAGCGUCAUUUUCAAAAUUCAAGCUCAGCUUGGUGAUGGGUGUCUGUCCCACCUCUGCGUGCCGGACUCGCCUCAAAAGCAGUUGGCAGCUCAUCCUUUGGCUCUAAACGCAGCAGAUUUGUGUGCGGUGCCUUGCGGAAGGGCUUUCCAGUAAGCAACUCCUCUUUAGAUUUGACCUCGGAUCAGGUAGGGAUACCCGCUGAACUUAAGC